rnacentral:rRNA from 2 species
CGGAGUGGACGCAUCACUGGUGUUCGGGUUGUCAUGCCAAUGGCACUGCCCGGUAGCUAAAUGCGGAAGAGAUAAGUGCUGAAAGCAUCUAAGCACGAAACUUGCCCCGAGAUGAGUUCUCCCUGACUCCUUGAGAGUCCUGAAGGAACGUUGAAGACGACGACGUUGAUAGGCCGGGUGUGUAAGCGCAGCGAUGCGUUGAGCUAACCGGUACUAAUGAACCGUGAGGCUUAACCUU